AAUCAACGCUGGCGGCGUGCCUCAGACAUGCAAGUCGAACGCGAAAGUCCCCUUCGGGGGACAAGUAGAGUGGCGCACGGGUGAGUAACACGUAGGUAAUCUACCUUCGGAUGGGGAAUAACAACCGGAAACGGUUGCUAAUACCGCAUAAUGCAGCGGCACCUAAUGGUGACAGUUGUUAAAGCGGGGGAUCGAAAGACCUCGCGUCUGAAGAGGAGCCUGCGGCGGAUUAGCUAGNGGUAAGGUAAUGGCUUACCAAGGCUACGAUCCGUAACCGGCCUGAGAGGGCGGUCGGUCACACUGACACUGACAUACGGGUCAGACUCCUACGGGAGGCAGCAGUCGGGAAUUUUGGGCAA
rnacentral:rRNA from 1 species